UACGUAGGUGGCGAGCGUUGUCCGGAAUUAUUGGGCGUAAAGGGUGCGUAGGCGGCACAUUAAGUCAGAUGUGAAAAUCCGGGGCUCAACUCCGGACGUGCAUUUGAAACUAAUGAGCUAGAGUGCAGGAGAGGGAAGCGGAAUUCCUAGUGUAGCGGUGAAAUGCGUAGAUAUUAGGAAGAACACCAGUGGCGAAGGCGGCUUCCUGGACUGUAACUGACGCUGAGGCACGAAAGCGUGGGGAGCAAAC
rnacentral:rRNA from 1 species